rnacentral:rRNA from 1 species
UGAGGAAUAUUGGUCAAUGGGCGCAAGCCUGAACCAGCCAUGCCGCGUGCAGGAUGACUGCCCUCUGGGUUGUAAACUGCUUUUCUGUGGGGCGAAACCACCGGUCGAGUAUCGGUGCUGACAGUACUACAGGAAUAAGGAUCGGCUAACUCCGUGCCAGCAGCCGCGGUAAUACGGAGGAUUCGAACGUUAUCCGGAUUUAUUGGGUUUAAAGGGUGCGUAGGCGGACGAGUAAGUCAGUGGUGAAAUUCUAUAGCUCAACUAUAUGGACAGCCAUUGAUACUGCACGACUAGAGUAAUUUUGACGAAGGCGGAAUGAGACAAGUAGCGGUGAAAUGCAUAGAUAUGUCUCAGAACACCGAUUGCGAAGGCAGCUUUCGAAACAUUAACUGACGCUGAG